rnacentral:piRNA from 1 species
GAGGAGAAAGAACACUUACCAAAGGGGCA